rnacentral:rRNA from 1 species
UACGUAGGGUCCGAGCGUUGUCCGGAAUUACUGGGCGUAAAGAGCUCGUAGGCGGUGUGUCACGUCGGCCGUGAAAACCUGCAGCUUAACUGUGGGCGUGCGGUCGAUACGGGCAUCACUGGAGUUCGGCAGGGGAGACUGGAAUUCCUGGUGUAGCGGUGAAAUGCGCAGAUAUCAGGAGGAACACCGGUGGCGAAGGCGGGUCUCUGGGCCGAUACUGACGCUGAGGAGCGAAAGCGUGGGGAGCGAACAGG